CAGUAGCCGCGGUAAUACAGAGGGUGCAAGCGUUAAUCGGAAUUACUGGGCGUAAAGCGCGCGUAGGUGGUUUGUUAAGUUGGAUGUGAAAUCCCCGGGCUCAACCUGGGAACUGCAUCCAAAACUGGCAAGCUAGAGUAUGGUAGAGGGUGGUGGAAUUUCAUGUGUAGCGGUGAAAUGCGUAGAUAUAGGAAGGAACACCAGUGGCGAAGGCGACCACCUGGACUGAUACUGACACUGAGGUGCGAAAGCGUGGGGAGCAAACAGGAUUAGAUACCCCCGUAGUCCCUGUCUCUUAUAC
rnacentral:rRNA from 1 species